UACGGAGGGUGCAAGCGUUAUCCGGAUUCACUGGGUUUAAAGGGUGCGUAGGUGGGCAGGUAAGUCAGUGGUGAAAUCUCCGGGCUUAACCCGGAAACUGCCGUUGAUACUAUUUGUCUUGAAUAUAGUGGAGGUGAGCGGAAUAUGUCAUGUAGCGGUGAAAUGCUUAGAUAUGACAUAGAACACCAAUUGCGAAGGCAGCUCGCUACACGAAUAUUGACUCUGAGGCACGAAAGCGUGGGGAUCAAACAGG
rnacentral:rRNA from 1 species